rnacentral:rRNA from 1 species
GCUUGUCUCAAAGAUUAAGCCAUGCAUAUCUAAGAAUAACUAACAUUAUCUUGAAUCUGUGAAUGGCUCAUUAUAUCAGUUAUAGUUUACAUGAUAGUCAAUACUACUUGGAUAACCGUAGUAAUUCUAGAGCUAAUACAUGCAUCAAACCCCGACUCACGAAGGGGUGUAUUUAUUAGAUGGAAACCAAUGCGGGGCAACCCGGAUUAUGGUGAUUCAUAAUAACUUUCAGAUCGAUCGCAAGAUCGAUGCAUCAUUCAAGUUUCUGCCCUAUCAGCUUUGGAUGGUAGGGUAUUGGCCUACCAUGGCUUUAACGGGUAACGGAGAAUUAGGGUUCGAUUCCGGAGAGGGAGCCUGAGAAACGGCUACCACAUCCAAGGAAGGCAGCAGG